rfam:Parasutterella excrementihominis CAG:233 genomic scaffold, scf129
CGGGGUGUAGCGUAGUCUGGUAGCGCGCCUGCUUUGGGAGCAGGAUGUCGGGAGUUCGAAUCUCUCCACCCCGA